CAUGUUACUAACCUAAAUGCAAUGAUUCAUUUAACAAUUGUGACAACUGUGAAAAUUUGUAAAAUGGGGCAAAACUCAUUUCACAACUGUUUCACUUAACAACAUAAAUUUUGAACUCGUGUAGUUGUAACUGGAGGACUACCUGAACUCAUCUAUCCCCACCCUGAAUAUUUAUAAUCUGCCAGAAUUCUAGAUGUUUGUGAUCAAUAAUUGGAAAAAGACAACCAUAUGAAUUUCUUUUGAGUAUCUACAUCUAAAUGGAGUGCGCUUUCGCUGAACUUUUUGACAAGCUGCUGAAGUUCUGUUUUGUUAAGUACUCUCACAUAGUUCAUACAGUGAAAGCACUUCCUAUUUUCUUAUUUGUGGAGCUGGCCAUAGGUAUGCCUAGCUUCUUUGUUUCCAGGCUGUAUGUUAAAUUGGAAUGAUACAUGCUUUCCAGACUUAUAUAUGAAAUAAAUCAAGAAUUAGUUGAAUUAGUUGGUCAGAGCUGCAUAUUACUUGCUGUAACAGUCUGGAUAUAGUUUCAUUAGUAGUCGUAAAUUUACAGCAAUUUAAGUGUUACUUGGAGUGGUUUCAAUAAGGUGUUGAGUAUUAGCAUUUGAACUGGGGAAAAAACCAUACAGCAUUAUGUAUCUGUAUUAGUAGCAAUGCCAGCAAUAGUAAUUAGCCAUAGUUUUUAAUAGGAAUUUUUAAUCUUUUGAGGUUGGUUAACAGACUUACAAUAACACUGCCAUAAAAGGCAUAGCAAGUCAUAGAACAUUCAUUUGGCAAAAAACAAACUGGUGUGUUUCCCUUUAGGCUGUGCCAGAAAGCUUUCACUAUGUCAUCUGCUAUGUUUCUUCUGCACCAAGAGAGUAUACUUCUAUAUCAGGGCUAUCAAACUCACGGCCUGCAGCCCGGAUGUGUCACAUGCUGGCCACGGCCACACCCUGUUUAGCGAAGGAGGGGGAAGUCCCAAUACAUUGUGACACUGCCAUGACUUUGACAUACCUGUCCUAAGUCCUUUUAGAUUUUAGGAACAAUACAGAAGAGAUUUGCCAUUACCUUUAAGAUAAUCACUAGCCUACAGAUUAUCACCCAUUUAAAUUCUUAGCUUUAUUAUUAGGAAAUUAUAAGGAAAGCUGGCUUUAUGAAUUUUGAUACAACAAAAUUAUUCAGCACUGCAGUGAUAGAAAGGGUUUGCAUUGGAAUUGACAAAAUUUAAUGUUUCAAGAAAUACAUGAUUAGUUGCUAUUACAGAAACAAGAAACAAUAUCCAGUGGUAAAUACAGCUUUUUACACAUGGGAUAAUUUUAAUUAUCUGAACUAUAUAACCAACACAAAAACACUAUAUCAAAAAUCCAGUUUCUAUAUUUUUCACCAACUAUGUUGAAGUAUUAACAUUGAUAAUGCUUUAGUGACAGAUUUACAAUAUGGUAGUAAUUAUAUUGAAAAAAAACACAACAAUUAAUAGUUAAAAAUUAAAAUAAAUUGCCAGCACACUUCCAUAGAAUGUUAGAAUAGUGACCAGUAUCCAGAUAACUCAGUGGUACAUUUUUGCUUAAAGAUUUAUAGUUUAAUAAGCACCAGACCAUAUGCCCUAGCACAUAUAUAUUCUCAAUAUUUAGGCAAGUCAGCAUUAUCGUAUCAUAGUAAGAUAUGUGAUACCUUAGGAUUUGCAGAAUUACAACUGUGAUAUUUUAGUUAUUAUCUAGCACCACUAAGCAUCCAAAGGGCAGUAAAGCAUAUUUACAAGUGUUUCUAAAUAGUUCAUAAAAAAUAUAUCUUCAAAAAUUUGAAUAUGUAAGGUCAUAAGGCCUCUAAGGCUUUAAAAAAAUACUUCUAUGGCCAUUUUUCUAAUUUAUAAAGACCAGAGGGAUAUUUUAUUAUGAUUUUCAUACUUGUAAUUUAAAUACGAUUUACAAAUCUAUUUGUUAAAUUCCCACUGUGCCAUCUUCAUCUUGCCUGAUUGUCAAAAUGAUGUAGGGAAGAUUGUCCCAUACUAGCUUGUUUAUAUUGGUUAUGUAAUGCUUCCCACUUACAUUAUUAAUUUAUAUCUUUUUUUUACUUUCAAAUAGCUAUGUUAGAUUUCUUUUUGGAUUUCAAAUUAUGUUUUACAAAAGCUAUGUUUCAUUAGAACUGAAGAUUAGAACCAAUUUGUUUUAUAAGGUUAAGAAUAAUACACUUAGCAAACCUGGUGAGAAACUCAAAAAAAUUACUGAAUUACUGUAAAUACUAUCAGAUUAAAAAAAUUCAUUUUAAACCAGGUUUACACAUCAUGUAGAAUUGCUGAUGCCUUCUAAGCAGCACAAAAAUAAUUAGUAGCUAUUACAUAUCCAAAUUUCACUUUGCAACUAAAACAAUAUUUCAGAUAAAAUGGAAAAGUGAUCCUGUUUUUGUUUUUAAGCAGUUAUGAAAUCCUAUAAAGCUCUGAAAGUUUCUCUAUACUUGGCAUUUUUUUUACUUGAGAUUGAUCUAUGUUGAGGUUCAGUUGUAAUGGACUGAUUUCCCAGGUAUUAAUGAUCAUUUUUAAGUAUUAGUUUUAAUUGACCCUUACAGAUUAUGCUAAUUUCAAUAUUGCUUUGCUAAGACUGACUAGGAAUUAUGGAAGUUGAAAUUAUUUCUUUAUGACUGCUUUAAUUGUUCAAGUAAAUUGUGCCAAAAUAUCCUUUAAAACAUAUCCUGAUACCUCCAUAAUUCAGACUUAUUCUCAGAUAAUCUAUUCUGUUGGUUUUUCUUUGAUUAAAACCAUUCUGUAUUGUUGUCUUGCUAUAGUACUGCUAACACAUGACUAUAAGUUUGGAAGCAGUUAUUGAGACAAUAUUCUUAUUUUCUUUUAUCUACAUAUUUCCUUGCUUAUACAGCAAAACAAAGCUGAAGAGUGCUGGAAUACUUAUGCCAUACCAAAAUA